rnacentral:rRNA from 1 species
AUGGAGGUAGAGCACUGAAUGGACUAAGGGCCCCACCAGGUUACUGAACCCAAUCAAACUCCGAAUACCAUAGGUUUAUAGUUUGGGAGUCAGACUGCGGGGGAUAAGCUUCGUAGUCAAAAGGGAAACAGCCCAGACCAGCAGCUAAGGUCCCCAAGUGCAAGCUAAGUGUGAAAGGAAGUGGAAUUACAAAGACAGCCAGGAUGUUGGCUCAGAGGCAGCCAUCAUUUAAAAAGUGCGUAACAGCUUACUGGUCAAGUGAUUCUGCACCGAAAAAUGUACGGGGCUAAAGCUUGCCACCGAAGCUCUGGAUCCAGAAUUUAUUCUGGGUGGUAGAGGAGCGUUCCUUUAUGGGAUGAAGGGUAACCGUAAGGAUACCUGGACUAAAAGGAAGUGAGAAUGCCGGCAUUAGUAACGAUAAGGAGAGUGAGAAUCUCUCCCGCCGAAAACCUAAGGUUUCCUGGGGAAGGUAAAUCCGCCCAGGGUUAGUCGGAACCUAAGCCGAGGCCGAAAGGCGUAGGUGAUGGACAACCGGUCAACAUUCCGGUACUACCAGAUUAUCGCUUUAAGUGAUGGGGGGACGCAGGAAGGUAGGUCAGCACGAUAAAAGUUACGUGUCCAAGCCUGAUGUGGGAGAAGAUAGGAAAAUCCGUCUUCUAUUAAAACCCUAAGAGGUGAUAGGGAGCUGCUAUUGCAGCGAACUGAUCGAUCCUACACUGCCAAGAAAAGCCUCUAAACAAGAUAACCUGGUAUCCGUACUAAAACCGACACAGGUAGGUAGGUAGAGAAUACCAAGGCGCUCGAGAUAACCCUCGUUAAGGAACUCGGCAAAAUGACUCCGUAACUUCGGGAGAAGGAGUGCCCCAUUAAGGUGACCCAAUUUACUUGGUUAGCCUGAGGGGUUGCAAAGAAACGGCCCAAGCGACUGUUUACUAAAAACACAGGUCUCUGCUAAAUCGAAAGAUGAUGUAUAGGGACUGACGCCUGCCCGGUGCUGGAAGGUUAAGGAAGGGGGUUACCUCUCAUCAUUGAGAGGGAAGCUCUUAACCGAAGCCCCAGUAAACGGCGGCCGUAACUAUAACGGUCCUAAGGUAGCGAAAUUCCUUGUCGGGUAAGUUCCGACCCGCACGAAUGGCGUAACGAUUUGGGCACUGUCUCAACGAGGGACUCGGUGAAGUUGUAGUGUAAGUGAAGAUGCUUACUACCCGCGACAGGACGGAAAGACCCCGUGAACCUUUACUGUAGCCUGAUAUUGAAUUUUAGCAUAUCCUGUGUAGGAUAGGUGGUAGGCUGUGAAAGAGGGGCGUUAGCCUCUCCGGAGCCAACCUUGAAAUACCACCCUUGAUAUGUUU